rnacentral:rRNA from 1 species
UAGCCGUAAACGAUACUCGCUAGGUGUCGGCCACGGUGCGACCGUUGUCGGUGCCGUAGGGAAGCCGUGAAGCGAGCCACCUGGGAAGUACGGCCGCAAGGCUGAAACUUAAAGGAAUUGGCGGGGGAGCACCACAACGGGUGGAGCUUGCGGUUUAAUUGGACUCAACGCCGGGAAGCUCACCGGAUAAGACAGACAUAUGAUAGUCGGGCUGAAGACUCUACUUGAUGAUCUGAGAGGAGGUGCAUGGCGUCAGUGACU